GAAUGAUGUGGCAAUUUUGAUAAAAAGGACCAAAACGGUGGAUUUCUUUCUGGCCCACAUCCAACAUUUUAUCCCCAAAUCGGAUGAACCCUACAGGCGACAAAAAUCAUCUUCUCUCCACCCCAACAUCAUCUGUCUUCUCCAAAUCUGUCAGACAACGCAACGACCCCGAUGGUAUACAUCUGAUCUAGUUACUUGGGUUUUCAUUUCGCAGACAAUCGAUCAUUUUUUUUUGUCAUUGGCAGCUGUGAGCACCAUCACUUGAAGCGAAAUCUGUAGUAAACCUGUUGGUGGGUAUGUUUAAGAAAUGGUAUGGAGUUAGAACCUUUGGUAUCUAUGAUUAAAAAAUAUUUGGUAAGUCGAAUUAACAAAUCUGCAGCUUGUACGCUACUAAAUCGUUUCCAGGUGUGCUUUGGACUUUGUUUUUAGAACACUUAUUUGAGCUUCUGUUUAAACAAUGUGUAUGAAUUUGGAGUUAAAACCAUUUAUUUGCAUUUCACUUGCAAAUAUUUAAGCAACAAUAAUAGUCUUAUUUGUAAUAUAUAUGGGAUUGGAUAUAUAUGACCAUUGUCAUUACAUUUUAUUCGUUUCCAGCCCUGUUAUGAAAUAUUUUAAGCAAAGAUGAAAAAUCAUUGCUUCUUUCCUACUGUGCAAUGUAUUAGAAGUUUAAAGUUCCCAAAACUUGCUUUACAAAGAACAUGUAUUUUGCAAAUCCUUUUCUAUGACCAUAUGGUUGCACACAAGAUCAGCAAAAGAUGGCUAUGUGGAGUCAGCUUCAACAAGGAAGGAACAGGACAAGAGUAGCAUAUUUUUACAUGUUUUUAUGAACUCAUUUUUUUCUAUGUAUUUGGCAUGAAGCUAAACUGAAGAGUGUGUGAUUGGCAUGAAGUUGCACACAUUUUUUCAAGAGAGAUGAGUGGUUAAGGAAGUCCAUGAGUGUGUGACAGUGGUUGGUGGUUGUUACUAGUAUUAGUCGUUUUAUUUGAAAUUUGAUAAUUAUUUGGAGUGAUACAAUUCAAGUGCCAGGCUAUUGUUACUUAGUUUCUUAUAUACAUGUACCAAUUACGAAGUAGUUGUUAAUUUCCAUUUCACUUGCUUGAACAUUAUGUUAUCGAAAUUUUGCAAACAUUCAAUUGAAUUAUUUAUUAUGUCCUAUUGAUAUUCUGUCUACGUGGUUGAAUUGUAGCUUACUAUAGCUGAAAAAAAUCAUGGAAUAUGUCAUAGUUGUAGACGUAAUGGUCAGUCACUUCUUUGUGAAUUGCCCAAAUAAAUGUCUAUGCCUAUGGUGUAAACAUGCAUUUGUGUAGUGUUUUCAAGUGGAGAAGGAUAGUAAGAACAAAGGUAAAUUGUUCAAUUGUUGCACUAUGAACUGCGAAUAUUGGGAGUGGGUUAAAGAAGGUGAAACGAGCGGUGAAUCAAGUGCCGUUGGCAUUACCUCCACUAAACUUGUGGUGCCAAAAUUAGUUUGAGAUAUCUCUGGCAUGUUCGAAACCAGGUGUCGGCUAAUUCAUGAAAAAGAUGUGGAGAUUUUUGUAAAUAUGACAAUACACAAAGGACAAGCGAUUGUGGAAGGGGAUAAUAAAUGAACGUAGUGCGUCUAAUUUGUAGUUGUUAAUGUAAUAAAAUUGUUCUUUAACUUAUAUGGAGACAUCAUUUCGAUGCCUACUAUGUGGUUCACAUAGCGUGAAAUUUGUGUAGUGCUAUUUAACUGUUGUGGGGACUUCAUUUUGAUGCCUACUAUAUGGUUAAUGUAAUGUGAAAUCCAUGUAGUAAUUUUAUGGAAUUUUUGAAUUGCAGUUAAGCUGGAUUCUUUUACAUGUAAAAUUCGGGAUUUUUGUUUUCACAUCUAUA
rnacentral:lncRNA from 1 species